rnacentral:rRNA from 1 species
CAAUGACGCGGUGAAUACGUUCCCGGGCCUUGUACACACCGCCCGUCAAGCCAUGGAAGUUGGGGGUACCUAAAGUACGUAACCGCAAGGAGCGUCCUAGGGUAAAACCGGUAACUGGGGCU